GGGGGAACUUUACUCAAAGUGAGCUCAAUCGAACUGAAAAGAAGUCCAGGAAAAAAGUGAAAAAAACGGGAAAAACUUUUGUUUUGACUGUUAUACCAAUUAUACCAAAGAGAAAUGAUAAAUGUGUAGAAGAGAUGGAGCAAACGCAAAAUGAUGAAUCGAUUGCAGCAGAUUUGGAAGAGGAUUUGUCUGUUCUGGAUAUACAGUGAGAGCUAAGCUUAAUGACUUGGUUAUAAAUGCUGGAAUUGAAGAUCACCAUGGGCUGUGACUGCGAUGCUUCAAUGAUGAUGAUGAAGAUCGCGGUUUACUUCUUUCUCUGAAAUUUGUAGUUAAUAAGUUUACACUGUUGUUCAUGUACAAAAGUGAAACUCUGAAUUUGUAGUUAACUCGCAUUGUUGUUUAGUUUGUGGCUUUGUGCUCACUUCUUUAUCUGUUGAAGUUAAUUCACGUUGUUAUCCUA
rnacentral:lncRNA from 1 species